rnacentral:rRNA from 1 species
UACGUAGGGGGCGAGCGUUGUCCGGAGUUACUGGGCGUAAAGCGCACGCAGGCGGUUUCGCACGUCUGGAGUGACAGUUCCCGGCUCAACUGGGAAAGGUCUUUGGAAACGGCGAGACUUGAGGGCUUCAGAGGGACACGGAAUUCCGGGUGGAGUGGUGAAAUGCGUAGAGAUCCGGAGGAACACCAAUGGCGAAGGCAGUGUCCUGGGAAGCAUCUGACGCUCAGGUGCGAAAGCUAGGGGAGCGAACAGG